rnacentral:rRNA from 1 species
UACGGAGGGUGCGAGCGUUAAUCGGAAUUACUGGGCGUAAAGCGUGCGUAGGCGGUUGCACAAGCUUGAUGUGAAAGCCCCGGGCUCAACCUGGGAACUGCAUUUGUGACUGCAAAGCUAGAGUGCGGCAGAGGGGGAUGGAAUUCCGCGUGUAGCAGUGAAAUGCGUAGAUAUGCGGAGGAACACCGAUGGCGAAGGCAAUCCCCUGGGCCUGCACUGACGCUCAUGCACGAAAGCGUGGGGAGCAAACAGG